CAAUAGCGUAUAUUUAAGUUGUUGCAGUUAAAAAGCUCGUAGUCGGAUUUUGGCUGAGAACGAACGGUCCGCCGUUAGGUGUGCACUGUUUGGUCUCAGCUUCCUGGUGAGGAGGUGUGCUUCACGGCCACUUAGUCACCGUGGUUACUUUGAAAAAAUUAGAGUGUUCAAAGCGGGCUUACGCUUGAAUAUAUUAGCAUGGAAUAACACCAUAGGACUCCUGUCCUAUUUCGUUGGUCUCGGGACGGGAGUAAUGAUUAAGAGGAACAGUUGGGGGCAUUCGUAUUUCAUUGUCAGAGGUGAAAUUCUUGGAUUUACGGAAGACGAACAACUGCGAAAGCAUUUGCCAAGGAUGUUUUCAUUAA
rnacentral:rRNA from 1 species